GUGCUUGCUCCAGCAGCACACAUACUAAAACUAGAAGGAUACAGAGAAGAUGAGCAUGGUCCCUGUGCUAGGGUAAAGGAAAAUUCAUAAAGUGUUCCAUAUUUUU
ensembl:snRNA U6 U6 spliceosomal RNA